UGGCGGAGGCCAUUGCUAUCAGGGUUUGACUAAGCCAUGCGAGUCGAGAGGUGUAAGACCUCGGCAUACUGCUCAGUAACACGUGGUUAACCUGCCCUAAGGUGGAGAAUACUCCCGGGAAACUGGGGCUAAUGCUCCAUAGUGGAUAUGUCCUGGAAUGGUAUAUCCUCGAAAGAUCCGUCGCCUUAGGAUGGGACCGCGUCCGAUUAGGUUGUUGGCGGGGUAACGGCCCACCAAGCCAUUGAUCGGUACGGGUUGUGGGAGCAAGAUCCCGGAGAUGGAUUCUGAGACAUGAAUCCAGGCCCUACGGGGCGCAGCAGGCGCGCAAACUUUACAAUGCGAGCAAUCGUGAUAAGGAAACCCUGAGUGCCUGUCGAUGCAGGCUGUUCAUAUAUCUAAAUCAUAUGUGAAGAAAGGGCAGGGCAAGACCGGUGCCAGCCGCCGCGGUAAUACCGGCUGCUCGAGUGAUGGCCACUAUUACUGGGUUUAAAGCGUCCGUAGCUUGACUGUUAGGUCUCUUGGGAAAUCUUCACGCUCAACGUGAAGGCGUCUAAGAGAUACCGGCAGUCUUGGAACUGGGAGAGGUAAACCGUACUUCGGGGGUAGGAGUGAAAUCUUGUAAUCCUCGAGGGACGACCUAUGGCGAAGGCAGUUUACCAGAACAGCUUCGACAGUGAGGGACGAAAGCUGGGGGAGCAAACGGGAUUAGAUACCCCGGUAGUCCCAGCCGUAAACAAUGUGCGUUAGGUGUGUCGGUAACCACGUGUUACUGAUGCGCCGAAGAGAAAUCGUGAAACGCACCACCUGGGAAGUACGGUCGCAAGGCUGAAACUUAA
rnacentral:rRNA from 1 species